GGACUGCCGAACAUCGAUUUAGACAAUUAUGGAGCGACGUUAGCAACAAAAGCAAGCUAGGCAGAAGCAACGUUUUGGAAAAGAGAUGCCCCAGCGGUGUCAUUCACUUCCAUCUUACUUCCUCGUUUCUGCCCGAUCUCCCCUGGCAGCCCGUCUCCUGCUGCGCUGUCAAGCAGGCAAACAUCUGCACGAUGCCUCUGAACGACCGGCCGAGUGCAAAGAAAGAAAAGACGAUGAGAAACAAAGUCUUUGCAUUCCCCGGUCAGCUUCCAGGAUUGUUGGACGCCUCCGCCUCAGUUAGGAAGCGGCAAAAUAUCAUCAGAUUAGGUCUGCUGAAGCGGCGAGGAGAAAUGAAAAGUGUCUCCCCACUUCCGGGUAGGGGUGGGGGGACUUUGGACUCCAUGAUGUUGGGGUGCGGUCGGGGCUAAAAGGUCAACUCCUCGUUUCUCCCGCCGACGUAUUGUUCCUCCGCGAGAGGUGACGGCGUCUGUCAAUCAGGACCUUUGCGGCGGGACAAAGGCCAUUCAGAGGCCGCCAUGAGAAAUGUCAGGGAUGCUGAGAUAAAAAAAAAAAACCAACAAAAAAAAGAUGUUCGGCCUUAGGUGGAGUUUGGGCAGCUUCAUGCAGACAUUUUCCAGCUUAUGUGUGGUCGGUAGGUGACGUAGAAUGAUGCAUGUCUUUAAUAA